rnacentral:misc_RNA from 1 species
CUGCGGAGGAUCAUUAUUGAAAUAAACCUGAUGGGUUGUUGCUGGUUCUCUAGAGAACAUGUGCACGCCUUGUCAUCUUUAUAUCUCCACCUGUGCACUUUUUGUAGACCUUUCCAGGUCUAUGUUGNUUCAUUUUACCCCAACUGUAUGUCAUUAGAAUGUUGUGCCAAUAUAAUUUAUACAACUUUCAGCAACGGAUCUCUUGGCUCUCGCAUCGAUGAAGAACGCAGCGAAAUGCGAUAAGUAAUGUGAAUUGCAGAAUUCAGUGAAUCAUCGAAUCUUUGAACGCACCUUGCGCUCCUUGGUAUUCCGAGGAGCAUGCCUGUUUGAGUGUCAUUAAUAUAACCUCAAACCUUUCCUUUUGUUGAAGGGUUUGGAUGUGGGGGUUUGCUGGCCUNUUU